UUGAAUCGUACAAUAAAAAGGACUUUUGACUUUUAAUGUCGAAGCAUAGCGUAAAACUUUAUUAAAGGUGUCAUGAACAGAUUUAAAACUGUUGAUUUUGUUAGUUAAUGAUUUUUUGUUGAAUAAAAUUGUAGAUAACAAUAAACAGUUAAUAGUAAAGGUCUUGUGAGUCGUUUUGUUGAUGGCACAAUAAGAAGUAAUCUAUGUGCAGAAAUUUGUAUCUAGUUUUAGUUAAAAGACAGUUAAAAAUAUUUUAUUGCUCUGAGAGUGUUGUUACUUGGAAACGUAAAAAGCAACAUGAUUAACCUUAUCAACCAAACAACGCACAUAGCAAAGAUGUCUUGUCAAGAUUUUUUUCUAUAAGUCUGGAAAUAUGUGAUGAUAUAUGUUAAUAUUUAGCAUAUUGGUUACAUUAAAAUAUCUUAUGCAAUGUGUUAUUGUUAUAUGUUAUUGUUAUGAUGUUAUUGUUGUAAUGUUUUGUGUUGAGAGACAACUUGGUUUAUCUUUUCGAUUAAUUUCUAUUAUUAAAAAAGAUUAUUAAGUAGUAUUAUUCUUAAAA